GACGAACGCUGGCGGCGUGCUUAACACAUGCAAGUCGAACGGGCCUUGUCCCCUUUUUUUUUGGGGGUGGGGUUAGUGGCGAACGGGUGAGUAACACGUGAGUAACCUGCCCCUCACUUCUGGAUAACCGCUUGAAAGGGUGGCUAAUACGGGGUGUUCUGGCCUGCUCGCAUGGGUGGGUUUGGAAAGAUUCGACCGGUUUUGGUUGUUUUGGUGGGGGAUGGGCUCGCGGCCUAUCAGCUUGUUGGUGGGGUGAUGGCCUGCCAAGGCUUUGACGGGUAGCCGGCCUGAGAGGGUGGGCGGUCACACUGGGACUGAGACACGGCCCAGACUCCUAAGGGAGGCAGCAGUGGGGAAUAUUGCACAAUGGGCGCAAGCCUGAUGCAGCGACGCCGCGUGAGGGAUGGAGGCCUUCGGGUUGUGAACCUCUUUCGCCAGUGAAGAAGGUCCUGCUCUUUGUGGUGGGGUUGACGGUAGCUGGGUUAAUGAAGCGCCGGCUAACUACGUG
rnacentral:rRNA from 1 species